rnacentral:rRNA from 1 species
GAUGAACGCUGGCGGCGUGCCUAAUACAUGCAAGUCGAGCGAACAGACGAGGAGCUUGCUCCUCUGACGUUAGCGGCGGACGGGUGAGUAACACGUGGAUAACCUACCUAUAAGACUGGGAUAACUUCGGGAAACCGGAGCUAAUACCGGAUAACACGUUGAACCGCAUGGUUCAACAGUGAAAGACGGUCUUGCUGUCACUUAUAGAUGGAUCCGCGCCGCAUUAGCUAGUUGGUAAGGUAACGGCUUACCAAGGCAACGAUGCGUAGCCGACCUGAGAGGGUGAUCGGCCACACUGGAACUGAGACACGGUCCAGACUCCUACGGGAGGCAGCAGUAGGGAAUCUUCCGCAAAGGGCGAAAUCCUGACGGAGCAACGCCGCGUGAGUGAAGAAGGUCUUCGGAUCGUAAAACUCUGUUAUUAGGGAAGAACAAAUGUGUAAGUAACUAUGCACGUCUUGACGGUACCUAAUCAGAAAGCCACGGCUAACUACGUG